AGGACAAACGCUGGCGGCGUACCUAAGACAUGCAAGUCGAACGGGCGCUUCACCUUCGGGUGGGUGUGCUAGUGGCGGACGGGUGAGUAACGCGUAGGAACCUGUCAUCAAGAGGGGGAUAACGCUGGGAAACCGGCGCUAAUACCGCAUGUGGUCAUGAAAAUGAAGAAAGCAGCAAUGCGCUUGAUGAGGGGCCUGCGUCCGAUUAGCUUGUUGGUGGGGUAAAGGCCUACCAAGGCAUCGAUCGGUAGCUGGUCUGAGAGGAUGGUCAGCCACACUGGGACUGAGACACGGCCCAGACUCCUACGGGAGGCAGCAGUUAGGAAAUUUUUCCCAAUGGGCGCAAGCCUGAGGGAGUAACGCCGCGUGGAGGAUGACGGCUUUCGGGUUGUAAACUCUUUCUGUGGAGAGUAGAGACGGUACGCAGGAAUAAGCCUCGGCUAACUACGUGCCAGCAGCCGC
rnacentral:rRNA from 1 species